UACGUAGGGAGCAAGCGUUGUCCGGAAUCAUUGGGCGUAAAGAGCUCGUAGGCGGUUUGAUAAGUCGGGUGUGAAAUCUCCAGGCUCAACCUGGAGAGGUCAGUCGAGACUGUUAUGACUAGAGUCCGGUAGGGGACCACGGAAUUCCUGGUGUAGCGGUGAAAUGCGCAGAUAUCAGGAGGAACACCAGUGGCGAAGGCGGUGGUCUGGGCCGGAACUGACGCUGAGGAGCGAAAGCGUGGGUAGCAAACAGG
rnacentral:rRNA from 1 species